ACUCCUACGGGAGGCAGCAGUGGGGAAUAUUGCACAAUGGGCGCAAGCCUGAUGCAGCCAUGCCGCGUGUAUGAAGAAGGCCUUCGGGUUGUAAAGUACUUUCAGCAGUGAGGAAGGUGGGUAUGUUAAUAGCAUAUUCAUUUGACGUUAGCUGCAGAAGAAGCACCGGCUAACUCCGUGCCAGCAGCCGCGGUAAUACGGAGGGUGCGAGCGUUAAUCGGAAUUACUGGGCGUAAAGCGCAUGCAGGUGGUUUGUUAAGUCAGAUGUGAAAGCCCGGGGCUCAACCUCGGAAUUGCAUUUGAAACUGGCAAACUAGAGUACUGUAGAGGGGGGUAGAAUUUCAGGUGUAGCGGUGAAAUGCGUAGAGAUCUGAAGGAAUACCGGUGGCGAAGGCGGCCCCCUGGACAGAUACUGACACUCAGAUGCGAAAGCGUGGGGAGCAAACAGGAUUAGAUACCCGGUAGGCUCUGC
rnacentral:rRNA from 1 species